UAUGUAGGCAGCAAGCGUUGUUCGGAGUUACUGGGCGUAAAGAGUCUGUAGGCGGUGCUCUAAGUUUGGUGUGAAAUCUCCCGCUUAACCGGGAGGGUGCGCCGAAGACUGGGGUGCUGGAGUCUGGGAGAGGAAAGCGGAAUUCCUGGUGUAGCGGUGAAAUGCGUAGAUAUCAGGAGGAACACCGGUGGUGUAGACGGCUUUCUGGACCAGUACUGACGCUGGAGAGACGGAAAGCGUGGGGAGCAAACAGG
rnacentral:rRNA from 1 species